AUACUUACCUGGCAGGGAAGACACCAUGAUCAAGAAGGUGGUUUACCCAGGGCGAGGCUUGGCCAUUGCACUCCGGCCGUGCUGACCCCUGCAAAUUCCUAAAAAAUAUUUUGAAAGAUGUCUCUUACGCUGAACAAGGCUGCAUUUAUUUGGC
rnacentral:snRNA from 12 species